AACCUGCCCCUGACUCCGGGAUAAGCGGUGGAAACGCCGUCUAAUACCGGAUACGACCCGCCACCUCAUGGUGGAGGGUGGAAAGUUUUUCGGUCAGGGAUGGGCUCGCGGCCUAUCAGCUUGUUGGUGGGGUAACGGCCUACCAAGGCGAUUACGGGUAGCCGGCCUGAGAGGGCGACCGGCCACACUGGGACUGAGACACGGCCCAGACUCCUGCGGGAGGCAGCAGUGGGGAAUAUUGCGCAAUGGGCGAAAGCCUGACGCAGCGACGCCGCGUGGGGGAUGACGGCCUUCGGGUUGUAAACCUCUUUUACCACCAACGCAGGCCCGGAGUUCUCUUCGGGUUGACGGUAGGUGGGGAAUAAGGACCGGCUAACUACGUGCCAGCAGCCGCGGUAAUACGUAGGGUCCGAGCGUUGUCCGGAAUUAUUGGGCGUAAAGAGCUCGUAGGCGGCGUGUCGCGUCUGCUGUGAAAGACCGGGGCUUAACUCCGGUUCUGC
rnacentral:rRNA from 1 species